CUCAUUUGGAUGCUCUCCUUCGCCCUCCGUGUCAGUAGAGCCUUUCUAAUUUGUUUUAAUUGUUAAUUUUAAUGAGUAGUGUUUUUCUGAUAACAUUUUAGCAUGUUUUGUUGUUUUAGAGAGGGUUUUUAUUGCAUUGCACAAAGCCUGAAGCACCUCAAUGUGGGAGCAAUUUGGAAGCUAAAUUAUUAUUAUUUAUUUAAAUCAAACCCUCCAGCCUCUUUAACCGUUUGGCUGAUUCUGUAAUUGCAGUACCAGUGUGAUGGAAAUGCUCAUGGGGCUGGCAAGGAAGCGUCUGGGUACUCUUCUCAGCUCUGUGACCAUGGCAUAUCCCCAGCCACUGGUUCUGCUUCCUGGGAAGAUUUUUUGGAUCCAGAGCUGUGCUGUUACUCCAGGUUUGCCCGUUUGGAGGCACCUGGAGUAGGACACGAGUAGAAACCUUCUGUUUCAGGGUCUCGUGCCAUCCAUGGAAUAAGCAAAAUUUGGGGGUAUGCAGCAAAGCACCAAUUUCAGCUCAGUUUUUAUCUGGUUGUGGCAGCAGGGCAGGGUGCAGCUGGGGCUGAAUUGCUUUUGGAAAGGGUGGUGCUUCUUUGAUGUGAAGUCACAACAGUCCUUAGGUCAAGGGCAUCUAUGAUGCUCUUUGAAGCUCUCUCCUGUCCCUUUGCUGCCGUGGCCAGUGGGGCUGUGUGGGUGCACCAUGCCCCUGGGGCCCCUGAGACACUUCAUGGCUCCAAGAGGCCACCAAGACUCACCAGACUGUGUCCAGUUAAAAAUCUUCAGAUAGCUCAAGACAAGAACGUGGGCAGCCUCGAGUCCCUCGCCAAUGCCAGCAGAAUGUACAGGCGGCAUCCAGCCGAGCACCUCCGGACAGAGGAGCAGGGAGAGAGCCUGGAAUUCCCUGCUGGGAUCAGCACUGCUCGUCCUGCUCAGCUUCCCCCCAGGACAGGGGCAAGCAGGCUGACUGCCUGCCCCUCUCAGCUCCUCCAGGAAAGCGAUUCCCGGCUGUCAGUGCCGAUACAGUGAACCCCAGCACUGUCCUGCAGGGAUAAAUGAUGCCGAUGAGAGCAGAGAUACUCGUUUGAAGGAUCCAGAUUGCAAAAUAAUGACACAGCAUUUGCGAGGGGUGGGAGCAAGACGGGUUAAUUACUUCAGAGGAAGCACAUCACCUUUGGUGUAGGGUCAAACCUCCUCGCUCUGGAAAUCUGCUGGUAUUACCCUGCUCUAAGGGGUCACUUGGCACCGCCUGGGAGCAGUGACGUGUGCAGCUAAUGUGAUUUACAAACCUCUGGUUUGGACCAUCAGUGGAUGAUGGUCCUUCAAGGGGGAAGGGAUCACCUGGUUCGUCUAUUUUCCUUCCACAAAGAUCUCGAGGCAAAAGGUUUCCUUGUGGCUAGGGAAAUUCAGAUGGGAUGAGUGGUUGAUUAGCAUAGCUGCAGGGCUGGAGGACACCAGCCAAAACCACUACCAUCAACUGGGCAGACUGGGAUGAUGGGAGAUCCAGAGGGACUGGAAGAAGGCAUGACCUCCUCCUGUGCCUGCACACUGCCAGGAACAGUCAUG
ensembl:lncRNA